GCGUCGAUAGCUCAGUGGCAGAGCAAUUGGGCGAUACCCACUGGGGUAGUACCCGGAUUCGAUUCCCGGUCGACGCC